rnacentral:rRNA from 1 species
AGAGUUUGAUCAUGGCUCAGGAUGAACGCUGGCGGCGUGCUUAACACAUGCAAGUCGAACGAAGCACUGAAGAAUGGAGAUUCGUCAAAGUUCUCUUGACUGAGUGGCGAACGGGUGAGUAACGCGUGAGCAACCUGCCCUUCAGAGGGGGACAACAGUUGGAAACGACUGCUAAUACCGCAUGACGUGUUUGGACGGCAUCGUCUGAACACCAAAGGAGAAAUCCGCUGAGGGAUGGGCUCACGUCUGAUUAGCUUGUUGCGGGGUAACGGCCACCAAGGCGACGAUCAGUAGCCGGACUGAGAGGUUGAACGGCCACAUUGGGACUGAGAUACGGCCCAGACUCCUACGGGAGGCAGCAGUGGGGAAUAUUGGGCAAAUGGGCGAAAGCCUGACCCAGCAACGCCGCGUGAAGGAAGAAGGCCUUCGGGUUGUAAACUUCUUUUAACAGGGACGAAGAAGUGACGGUACCUGUUGAAUAAGCCACGGCUAACUACGUGCCAGCCGCCGC